CAAUCAUACACGUCAUUUUACUACAGUACAGUAGGUGGCGGUAUAUUGUUCGUGUCCGUAUGGUCAUACGCGGCAAGCAAGUACACACACGACUGAAGUGUCGCUGGAAGACUGCAGGAACAGAAACCCCUGGAAAGGUUAGAAGACAGCGGAAAGAAUUGACAUCGCAGUAAACCCAGCAGACAGCCAGAGACACACCAAGAGACACGCACACACACGCAGCUGAAGUGAGUUUGACUGACGCGCACGGGAGAUCGGGCACGCGCAAGGGAAAUCAUGCACGUGCACGGAAGGUCGUGCACGCACGCACAAACAUGGAGCACAGCAUAAUUACAACAGUUGGAUUAAAAUAAAAGUACUUUGUGGUAUACAAUGUU